GACCUCUUAGCUCAGUGGUAGAGCGUGAGAUUCCAGCACCUCUGGCCUCCUCAAGGUCGUCCGUUCAAUCCGGGCAGGGGUCA
rnacentral:tRNA from 1 species